rnacentral:lncRNA from 1 species
AGAAAAGAGAAAUUUGGUUUGAAAUGAAAUUUGAGUCUUGAGAGAGGGCUGAUAUGAAGGAGAAUCAAACAAGCCACAUGGGAGCAUCUGAAGGCCUGGAGAUAAGGGCCUGUUGCAUGGCUGUGAAAAUUUGGCCUUUAAAAUAACUAGGCAUGGGCCAGAAAUCACAGCCGGCGGCUGCGACCACCCAAGGCAGGAGAUCCAGCGGGGGACUAUGGAGCUCAGUGGAGCUGCGGCCUGGGAGAAGCCCACCCAAGAGAACCAUGUAACUAGAAACCAUCACAUUCGGCUUCGUGUGAGGGAGAAGCAGGUGUUUCAUUGCACGCAGUUACUGAGAUCUGGGGUUGUUUGUUAUUGCAGCAAGGACCCACCCUAACACACGAGGUGUUAUAUGCAUUUUACAGAUUGCCAAGAUGGUACAGACAGCAGAAGUGGCAAAACAACACUUAAACUCAAACCUGCCCAACUUCAAAGUCCACGCCCUUCCCUGGGCUUCAGACUGCCGUCUUUGAUGCUAUCUUUCAUUGAGAUGUUGUUUGCAUUAAAUGGGGGAUCUUGCGGCACACGGUGGACCUUGCCCAGCACCCACUCUUCCUAGGGCCAGCCUUACUCUGUGGGGUCAGCCUUUGACCGUCUGGGCCAUGAAGGUGGCUGAUGAGGCCCCUUCGACAGCCAAGUUGGGGCACAAUCUCCUCCGGAUGUUGUUAUUCCUUCACAGUCUCAUCGCAGGCGGGGAGGAAGUCAGAGGGCUGAUUUAGAGGACAGAGAUACAAACAGAGUGAGCAGAGGAUGUUUGGCUGCAGUUGCUCCAGAGUUUCAAGGGAGAAAACACAAGCAUUGCUGAGCGGCCAUUAGGGGCUUGCACGCUCAGCUGGGCACAUGUCCACACCGAGGCAUCACGUGCGGUCUGAGCUGAGCUCUCAUCUCUGGGUUUCAGGACUUUCAGCACAGUCCUGGCCCUUCACGUUUAGUCUGGGUGAUCAGGGAUGUAAACCAGCAAUUGCAAGGUGGUGAAGCACCACCGUGGAAGGGCACCAGCCGGGCCCUGGGGUCACAGAAGUGCCCCAGGAAGUGUGGCCGUUAAGCCUGGUGAGAGGAGAGCGAGCCGGGAGGACGGUGAGAGACAGGCAUGACGGGGCGGUGAGUGUGACUGCUGCUGAGCAUGUCUGAGACGGCAGGCAGUCACCAAAGGCUUGUAAGCAGAGGCAACACCCUGACUUGUGGUUUGGAGAGAUCAUGGUGACUGCCGUGCAGGGACGGAAUGGAGGCUGCUCCAGUGACUCUGGCCGUGGGCAGUGGUGGGCGGGUGAGGGGACAGAGGAAAGUGGAUGGAGUUGCUGCCCCCACAACCCUGCUGAGAAAGUGCCCACGGGACCUGGCGGGGUGUGAGUCACACUUGGGCUGCUCUGCCUGGCUCUGCACCUAUUUCGUGAGCUGGAAGGGACAGCCUGAGCCCCGUCCCUUGGAUGGACAUCAAUGCAGGAGUAAGGGUCUGUCUCUGAAGCUCUCUGAGCAACGGAAGGGAAGCUCCCCAUUUCCGGCAUCUCGGCUUGGCAGGACCCCUCCAGGACCUCACUCCUCUGAGACGCACUGCAGACCUCACAGGUGACAGCAGCGUUUUGCUGACUCAGAGGCAACUACCACGAUGACCCUCCAGCCCGUGUCCAGACCUGGGGCAGCGACUUGGACAGGGGGCUGCAGAAGUGGGUCUGUGAGGGGGACCUGACGGGGGGCUGCAGAAGUGGGUCUGUGAGGCGGACCUGGGGGGGCAGCCCUGGGGUGGGCUCACUGGGGUUCACUCCACCUCGAAGACUUCAAUUCCAGCUCUGGCUGGUUUUGUUGGAUUAGGAACACACAGCCAGCCAAAUCUUGGUUACUAGGGUGCCAGAGAUCACGUGGAGAAAUGAAAUAAAGAGAGAACCCCCAAACGGUGGUGCUGCCAUGCAUUGGAGCCUCUCGCCCCAACAGCAUUCUUACUUUAUUUAUUUAUUUCUCAUCCACAUUUUGCUGGAAGAUUUUGCGCAUUCAUAAUGGCAAACAGAAUAUGGCGAUAAGCUUCUGUGUACACUAUCAUCAACAGCUUUCAAUUCCUAAUUAACCUUAUUUUAUCAAUAUUCCCCAUAAUCCCCCAUGCUGUUUCUUG